rnacentral:rRNA from 1 species
UACCCGCAGCCCGAGUGGUGCUCGUUAUUAUUGGGCCUAAAACGUCCGUAGCCGGCCUUGUAAAUCCAUGUGGAAAUCGGAGGGCUCAACCCUCCGAAGGGCGUGGACACUGCAAGGCUUGGGACUGGGUGAGUUCGGAGGUACUUCCGGGGUAGGGGUGAAAUCCUGUAAUCCUGGAAGGACCACCAGUGGCGAAGGCGUCCGAAUAGAACGGAUCCGACGGUCAGGGACGAAGCCCUGGGGCGCAAAC